rnacentral:misc_RNA from 1 species
GAAAUGCGAUACGUAAUGUGAAUUGCAGAAUUCAGCGAACCAUCGAAUCUUUGAACGCACAUUGCGCCCGCCAGUAUUCUGGCGGGCAUGCCUGUCCGAGCGUCAUUUCCCCCCUCACGCGCCCCGUUGCGCGCUGGUGUUGGGGCUCCUCCGCCUGGCGGAGGGCCCCGAAAGCGAGUGGCGGGCCCGGCUGGUUGGCUCCGAGCGCAGUACCGAACGCAAGUUCUCCCCUCGCUCGGACGCCCCGCCGGCGCCCUGCCGUCAAAACGCGCAUGACGUGCAACUCUUUUUACAAGGUUGACCUCGGAUCAGGUAGGACUACCCGCUGAACUUAA